GUCAGCCAGGCCCAGCCCAGCCCCUGAAGGAGGCAGACCCAUGGGAACCAGAAUAUUUCCUAAUCCUGGGAAGCCCUGACAGGCCCCUGCGAGCAGUCUUCCUUCCGCCUCACCCCAAGUCCUCUCCGUGCUCCCUCUUCAGGGCCCCUCCCACUGCGCCCUUCAUUCUUCUCCAGCCCAGAAGCUGUUGUGACGGUGACUCGGCCUCCACUCCUCCUGGCCCCUCCUCGCCAGGGACUUCCCUGGGGUGGGCCUCUCACCAGCUUUGGAAAAUCUGGGCUGUUUGUGAUCAAACAGGAGGCUGCCUCACUGCACGCCCCAGGCUCGCUCUCUCUGUUAGAGGCCCGACCACAGAAAGGUCCAGCUGGCUCUGGAGGAGAGCAGGUGGGAGAGCCCGCCCCCGCGACAGGUGCUUUGGCCCUGACCUUGAGGGGUGAUCCCAAGGGAGGCAGGGGCAGACUCCCACCUGGUCUCCCUAUCUAGCCUCAGAUCACCCCAAGCCCACACACUCACCCGCCAACCCUCACAGACACGUAUUCAUGGAACAACCCAGACACACUCAGACACCCACAGGCAUACUCACAAACACAUAAACAGGCUCACACACUUUCGUUCCCACGGUCCCACACACAGGCACCUGGGGGGACCUGACACACGCUCACAAACACACACACACACCUGCCCUCACCCUUGCCCGCCUACUCCCUCGUCUUGGGAAAAGGAUAAGCCCAACAUUGAUCGUUCUUUUCCUUCCUUUUGGAAAACCUGGCAGGGACUAGAGAGAAAAAGGCGAGCUGAGAAGGCCGGGCAAGAAGAGGAGGGCAGGAAGAGGAAAUCGGAAAUGGAGGAAGAGAAGGCAAGAGGAGGUGGGGGAUUCCAGCGCCCAGGGUCCUGAGGAAAUCACCGGAGGGCCAGCCCACAUCCUCCUGCCCCUGGUUCGUAUCCCAUCUGUUUCCACUUAGUUUCUGCGGCUUCUCUACAGGCAAGGAAA
rnacentral:lncRNA from 1 species